GCCAGUUAGUACAGUGGUAGUAUGUAGCAUAUCAGUCUCCUAGAUACGCGACUUGUAAAAGCGCUAACCCCUGCUAAGGACCUAGGUUCGAUUCCCAGACUAGGCC